rfam:Pan troglodytes isolate Yerkes chimp pedigree #C0471 (Clint) chromosome 5, whole genome shotgun sequence.
GCCAGGUAUGGUGGUGCAUGCCUGUAAUCCCAACUACUUGGGAGGCUGAGGCGGAAGAAUCACUUGAACCCAGGAGGCAGAGGUUGCAGUGAGCCAAGAUGGUACCACUGCACUCCAGCCUGGGUGACAGAGUGAGAUUCUGUCUCAA